GUCGAGUUUAGGCCCAGUGUCCGAUAC
rnacentral:sRNA from 1 species